GGUUUAGUCUCGUCCCCCGAUUGCUUCCCAAUUCAGAACAUCCACUUCUCCCAGAAAUAUGGAUUUGAACAGUCCACUUAUUACGACCUUAAAGUUGGAAUAAGUGACCCAGAGCUGUUCAUUCCACCCAGAGAGUGCGCCCCACCGGGUUAUUAGAGGCAACAAAAUAAUAUCUGAUAUUACACAAUGAAAUUCCUCUCUAUCAUUUUUGUUCAUCAUAGUGUCGAGCAUUACAUUGUAUUCUGUAUUUUAGUACAUAUCAUGAUAGAACUUUAUUAAAGAAUUUGUAUAAAC
rnacentral:misc_RNA from 1 species